GUUAAGGAAAACAAAACAUGGGAAAAAAACUUUUAUUUGUAGCAGAAAGGUACACACAUGCAAAUGAAAAAGAUGACAUUAAAAUUGCAUUAAAAUGUCAUUUAGAAUAUGAUUUAUAAUUAUUGCUGCCGGUUAUUCAUAUUGAGAUAAUGGUCGAGGUGACCACAUCGCGAACAUCAUGACUUAUGAGUGAAGUAAAACGAGGUUACUUGGUUUCUGUUUACAAAGUUCCAAGUGGAAAAACAACUUUAUUGUGAAUUCAGUGUAUACUUUUCUGGAGUAUUGUGUUUACUGAGUGAAUUGGUGACCAAUCUGUUGCUAUUUGUGUCUUGCUUGAGGAUAUUCAUCAUUGGAUUCAAAACUAUGGUAUUAAUGUGCAAUAAUCAUCAUAACAAAAUACGUAGUAAUUAAUUAUAUAUGUCAACCUAUUUAUUUUCAUGAGAUCAUGGUAUGACCACUGAAAAACAUAGCUUUUUAUCUUGGCUCCAUUACAAAUUCAGUAUAUAAUUACUCUAUUAGUGGACUCUAGUUUUCAGCAUCUUUUAUUAUUAUGCCAAUAUUCUAAGCACUCAGCUUGCAAAGAUGCUUAGGUUUAUGUUGUCAGUUUGGGUCGGACUUAUGUGAACACUUUACCAAGUGACCUAAGAUUACUCAAUGCUCGCAAAGCUAUGGUAUUAACGUGCAAUGGUCAUCAUACCAAAAUACGUAGUAAUUAAUUAUAUAUGUCAACCUAAUUAUUUUCAUGAGAUCAUGGUAUGACCGCUGAAAACAUAGCUUUUUUUUAUCUUAGCUCCAUUACAAAUUCAGUAUAUAAUUAUUCAUAUAUUCAAUAAAGUAGUGGAAUCCA